rnacentral:rRNA from 1 species
UGGGGAAUAUUGGACAAUGGGCGCAAGCCUGAUCCAGCCAUGCCGCGUGCGUGAAGAAGGCCUUCGGGUUGUAAAGCGCUUUCAACGGUGAAGAUAAUGACGGUAACCGUAGAAGAAGCUCCGGCUAACUUCGUGCCAGCAGCCGCGGUAAUACGAAGGGAGCGAGCGUUGUUCGGAAUUACUGGGCGUAAAGGGCGUGUAGGCGGACGGUCAAGUUGGGGGUGAAAGCCCGAGGCUCAACCUCGGAACUGCCUCCAAAACUGAUCGUCUUGAGUCCGGGAGAGGCAUGCGGAAUACCCAGUGGAGAGGUGAAAUUCGUAGAGAUUGGGUAGAACACCAGUGGCGAAGGCGGCAUGCUGGACCGGUACUGACGCUGAGGCGCGAAAGCGUGGGGAGCAAACAGGAUUAGAUACCCCCGUAGUCC